UAUACCUUGUUCAGUUGGGGGAUUUUAACUUUUUGAAUUUAUCAUUGUAGAAACCAAAGAUGACUUCAUAACUUCUUUUUCUAUGGAGCUGUUCCACGGAGGCCAAAUCUGUCCUUAGGAUGGGCCUGAACGACUCUCAAAGGCCAGUGGGGAAGGGGAAUGAAUCCCAGAUAUUUUCCCCUUUGAGGGACAUGGGAAUUCUGUGUGAAGUCAUCGAUUGAUACGGGGACACGGUAUCCGUUGGUUUGCCCCCCCCCCCCAAACGUGAGCCGUCUCGAAGCGGGGGAUGACGGGGUUUAAACUGAUACUUGGAUGGGUAAUGGGUUAAAAAAGAUGCAGCUUUGUCUAAACGCUUGUGAUCUUUUAAGCUAAGGAAGUCCCUUCACCGUAGACAAGCCACUGACUCACGGAGACAGUUAAUUCAAUGGAUGACCCGCAGCUGUGAUGGAAGCUCUGUCUCGGAGACAGAUAGCCUCAGGCCGGCUGACGAGUUAGUGAACUAUAGCUUCUAGAAGGGAGGGGGCGUGACCGGGUAUGUCUGACCUGCCUUCUCAUGGUCAACGAGUCAUCUUUUUAGGGUCUUCCUGGGGUCCCCUUGGCCACGAGUGGGGGGAUCGAUCCAUCCAUUCAGCCUGCUGGGGAGAGGGAGGGGUUAAGAUUUUAAUGCAUUUCCCAACCUGUAUAGGCGGUGGCAGGAGCGGGACAGGAGCAGUUGUCACGGUCCUCGUAAUCACCGCCUCCGUAAAAACACCGAAUGACGUUUCUCUAUCCACGAAAGGUGUCGGUUUGCCUGCAGAUGAUAAGGGAGCCUUUCUGGGCUGGGCGAUGGAAUUUUCAAAGUCUGCCCUUGACCCUGGUGACGCCACACCCACCACCUCUGUAGCCACCCGCGGGACCGGCCCACCAAGCCUGACCUAACACACUUUCGCAGCUAUCUAUCGCCCCCCCCCAAUGCUAAAGCCCUCAGGGCUUCCCUUCCCUCACGUUUGUCCCCUCUCCCAACUUAGGAACGACUGGAGGGGUGUGGAGAGCCACAGGUGCACCCCACGGCCCCUCACAUGGGACGCCCUUCUUGGAGCCGGCCUGUAUUCAGCUUCCUCAAGCAUGCCGACUGCCUCCCGUCAGGGCCUGCCUUUUCCCUCUUUCCACCGCAGGGCUUUCCCUCUUUCCGCCUAAUGCAGGGCUCUCCCACUCCUUUGCCUGCCUUAGACUCUCUGCCAAAGGCAAAGAAAGUGCUGCUGGCGGUGAUGGCGGUGGCAGUGGUGACACUGACUCUCUUGAGAAUGAAUGAAUGAAUGAAUGAAUGUCUAAUGUCUGUCUAUUUAGUCACACACAGGCACGCACACACGGCAUAUAUACCACUUAUUCUCAUUUGGGUGAUCUGUCUUCACUGAUCUCCACAGAGUUGACUAGCCUACAAGGCAAAUAAAAUACUCAGAAUCAUA